GCGUUGUGAAUGGCCUGCCCGGCUGACUCUUAAUCAGCGGGUUCGGGGUUCGAGUCCCUGAUGGCGCA
rnacentral:tRNA from 1 species